GAUGAAGAACGUAGCGAAAUGCGAUAAGUAAUGUGAAUUGCAGAAUUCAGUGAAUCAUCGAAUCUUUGAACGCACAUUGCGCCCGCUAGUAUUCUGGCGGGCAUGCCUGUCCGAGCGUCAUUUCAACCCUCAAGCCCCCGGGCUUGGUGUUGGGGAUCGGCGAGCCUCCGCGCCUCCGUCCCCUAAAUCUAGUGGCGGUCUCGCUGUAGCUUCCUCUGCGUAGUAGCACACCUCGCACUGGGAAACAGCGCGGCCACGCCGUUAAACCCCCAACUUCUGAACGUUUGACCUCGGAUCAGGUAGGAAUACCCGCUGAACUUAAGCAUAUCAAUAAGCGGAGGA
rnacentral:misc_RNA from 1 species